AGUCACGUGAAGGGGAGCAAUCCCCCGGUAGGGUGGCAAACGGGUGAGUAAUACAUGGGUGAUCUACCUUAGGGAUGGGGAUAUCCUUCCGAAAGGAGGGGCAAUACCGAAUAUUGUCCGGAACCGUGAAGGGUUUCGGGGAAAGGGAGGCCUCUGUCACAAGCUUUCGCCUUAAGAUGAGCCCAUGGCCCAUCAGCUAGUGGGUAGGGUAAAGGCCUACCAAGGCUACGACGGGUCGCUGGUCUGAGAGGACGACCAGCCACACUGGCACUGAGAUACGGGCCAGACUCCUACGGGAGGCAGCAGUGAGGAAUAUUGCGCAAUGGGGGAAACCCUGACGCAGCAACGCCGCGUGUGGGAAGAAGGCCUUCGGGUCGUAAACCACUUUUACUCGGGACGAAAAAGGGAUAUCAAACAAAUAUCCCC
rnacentral:rRNA from 1 species